rnacentral:rRNA from 1 species
UCCGGGGAAGGAAGCUCGGAGGAUCAUUA